rnacentral:rRNA from 1 species
CCUACGGGAGGCUGCAGUGGGGAAUAUUGGACAAUGGGGGGAACCCUGAUCCAGCCAUGCCGCGUGUGUGAAGAAGGCCCUCGGGUUGUAAAGCACUUUCAGUGAGGAAGAACGCCUGGUGGUUAAUACCCAUCAGGAAAGACAUCACUCACAGAAGAAGCACCGGCUAACUCCGUGCCAGCAGCCGCGGUAAUACGGAGGGUGCGAGCGUUAAUCGGAAUUACUGGGCGUAAAGCGCGCGUAGGUGGCUUGAUAAGCCGGUUGUGAAAGCCCCGGGCUCAACCUGGGAACGGCAUCCGGAACUGUCAAGCUAGAGUGCAGGAGAGGAAGGUAGAAUUCCCGGUGUAGCGGUGAAAUGCGUAGAGAUCGGGAGGAAUACCAGUGGCGAAGGCGGCCUUCUGGACUGACACUGACAAUGAGGUGCGAAAGCGUGGGUAGCAAACAGGAUUAGAUACCCUAGUAGUC